GCCCACAUAGCUCAGGCGGUAGAGCACUCCCUUGGUAAGGGAGAGGUCACUGGUUCGAUUCCAGUUGUGGGCACCA
rnacentral:tRNA from 1 species